UACGGAGGGUGCAAGCGUUAUCCGGAUUCACUGGGUUUAAAGGGUGCGUAGGUGGGCAGGUAAGUCAGUGGUGAAACCUCCGGGCUUAACUCGGAAACUGCCAUUGAUACUAUCUUUCUUGAAUACCGUGGAGGUCAGCGGAAUAUGUCAUGUAGCGGUGAAAUGCUUAGAUAUGACAUAGAACACCAAUUGCGAAGGCAGCUGGCUACACGAAUAUUGACACUGAUGCACGAAAGCGUGGGGAUCAAACAGG
rnacentral:rRNA from 1 species